rnacentral:rRNA from 1 species
GUGGAUUACCUACCUCUGGGUCAGGGACAACUGUGCUAACGCGCAGCUAAUACCAGAUAACGUCUCCGGACCAAAGGUGCGAUUCCGCCUGGAGAUGGGUCCGCGUCCUAUUAGCUAGUUGGUAAGGUAAUGGCUUACCAAGGCCGAGAUGGGUAGCAGGUGUGAGAGCACGACCUGCGACACUGGGACUGAGACACUGCCCAGACACCUACGGGUGGCUGCAGUCGAGAAUUUUCUGCAAUGGGCGCAAGCCUGACAGAGCGACGCCGCGUGCGGGAUGAAGGCCUUCGGGUUGUAAACCGCUGUCAGUGGGGAGCAAGUUACCAGGGGUUCUCCCCUGGUAUUGAGCAAUCCGCAGAGGAAGCUCGGGCUAAGUUCGUGCCAGCAGCCGCGGUAAGACGAACCGAGCAAGCGUUAUUCGGAAUUACUGGGCUUAAAGAGUCCGUAGGCGGCGCGUUAGGUGGGGUGUGAAAUCCCUCGGCCCAACCGAGGAAUGGCGCUCCAAACCGGCGUGCUU